GUAAUGCGAAGGUAACCAACCCUGAAGUUGGGCAUAGCCGCGGGAAACUGCGGGUAAUUCCCAGCGACGUUGCGAGAUGGCAUCAUUUUGCAACCAAAGGUGUGAUUCCGCUUUAGGACGGGCCUUCGUGGUAUUAGGUAGUUGGUGAGGUAACGGCUCACCAAGCCUACGAUGCCUACCGGGUGUGAGAGCAUGACCCGGCACACUGGAACUGAGACACUGUCCAGACACCUACGGGUGGCUGCAGUCGAGAAUCUUCGGCAAUGGGCGAAAGCCUGACCGAGCGACGCCGCGUGAGGGAUUGAAGGCCUUCGGGUUGUAAACCUCUUUCGUAGAGGAGGAAGGGGCUGUGAAGAACAGUCCUUGACCUAUUCUAGGAAGAAGCUUGGGCUAAGUUCGUGCCAGCAGCCGCGGUAAGACGAACCAAGCGAACGUUAUUCGGAAUUACUGGGCUUAAAGCGCGUGUAGGCGGACUACCACGUUGGUUGUUGAAAUCCCCCGGCUUAACCGGGGAACUGGCACCAAUACGAGUAGUCUGGAGGUGGGUAGGGGAGACUGGAACUUCCGGUGGAGCGGUGAAAUGCGUUGAGAUCGGAAGGAACGCCCGCGGCGAAAGCGAGUCUCUGGACCCAUACUGACGCUGAGACG
rnacentral:rRNA from 1 species